GACGAACGCUGGCGGCGUGCUUAACACAUGCAAGUCGAACGGAAAGGCCCUGCUUGCCGGGUACUCGAGUGGCGAACGGGUGAGUAACACGUGGGUGAUCUGCCCUGCACUUCGGGAUAAGCCUGGGAAACUGGGUCUAAUACCGGAUAGGAGCCAUUUUUAGUGUGAUGGUUGGAAAGUUUUUUCGGUGUAGGAUGAGCUCGCGGCCUAUCAGCUUGUUGGUGGGGUAAUGGCCUACCAAGGCGGCGACGGGUAGCCGGCCUGAGAGGGUGGACGGCCACAUUGGGACUGAGAGACGGCCCAGACGCCGACGGGAGGAAGAAGGGGGGAAGAUUGCACAAUGGGCGCAAGCCUGAUGCAGCGACGCCGCGGGGGGGAUGACGGCCUUCGGGUUGUAAACUCCUUUCGCUAGGGACGAAGCUUUUUGUGACGGUACCUAGAUAAGAAGCACCGGCUAACUACGUG
rnacentral:rRNA from 1 species